rnacentral:rRNA from 1 species
UACGUAGGGGGCAAGCGUUGUCCGGAAUCAUUGGGCGUAAAGAGCGUGUAGGCGGCCAGAUAAGUCCGCUGUGAAAUCUCGAGGCUCAACUUCGAGCUGUCGGUGGAAACUGUCUGGCUAGAGUCCGGAAGAGGAGAAUGGAAUUCCUGGUGUAGCGGUGAAAUGCGCAGAUAUCAGGAGGAACACCUAUGGCGAAGGCAGCUCGCUGGGACGGUACUGACGCUGAGACGCGAAAGCGUGGGGAGCGAACAGG